rnacentral:rRNA from 1 species
UACGUAGGGUGCAAGCGUUAAUCGGAAUUACUGGGCGUAAAGCGUGCGCAGGCGGUUAUAUAAGACAGUCGUGAAAUCCCUGGGCUCAACCUAGGAACUGCGAUUGUGACUGUAUGGCUAGAGUGUGUCAGAGGGGGGUAGAAUUCCACGUGUAGCAGUGAAAUGCGUAGAUAUGUGGAGGAAUACCGAUGGCGAAGGCAGCCCCCUGGGAUAACACUGACGCUCAUGCACGAAAGCGUGGGGAGCAAACAGG